rnacentral:rRNA from 1 species
AGUUGACCUCGAAUCAGGUAGGAAUACCCGCUGAACCUA